rnacentral:rRNA from 1 species
UACGGAGGGUGCAAGCGUUAUCCGGAUUUACUGGGUUUAAAGGGUGUGUAGGCGGGCUUUUAAGUCAGUGGUGAAAUCUCCGGGCUCAACCUGGAAACUGCCAUUGAUACUAUUAGUCUUGAAUUUUGUUGAGGUAGGCGGAAUAAGUCAUGUAGCGGUGAAAUGCAUAGAUAUGACUUAGAACACCAAUUGCGAAGGCAGCUUGCUAAACAAAUAUUGACGCUGAGGCACGAAAGCGUGGGGAUCAAACCGG